CAAAUAUAGUGCACAGUAUCAUGAAAGAAUUGUAGUAAACAUAAUAAUAUGGUAUAAGGAUGUCAUUGCCAAUCACACUGCGCAAGCGGCCGUACGUCUCAUCCGAGUGGAUGUAGCAGAAUUGUAUAAAACCUGAAUCGUGAAUGUAAUACAAAUUAAACUAAUACACCUAAAGUGACGUGUGCCACAAAUAAAGAGCAGACAUACGUGUGAGUUAUUCUUCUACUCAGCAAGACGUAAUUCAAAGAGUUAAAUUAAGUGGUUUUUUUUAAUGAUUUUAAGGAAACGGAACUUUACAUUAAGGAUUUUUUAUAAGAUGAGCACGUACGGACCCUAAUCCAAUGUGGACUUACUCGAGCGUGGACAUCCCGAGGAGUAGAGUCAGUCGCGCGGAGAGAAUAAGGAUUUAUAUUUCGGAGUGCAUUGUUUGUUUUUGUGUUUUAUUCUUUAUCAUUUGCGUGGGCUUACUACUCUAUUUGUUUUUCCAUUUAUAUAGCACUGUGACGAAUGCUCGCAAAGUGGUUGAGACGUUGAUUGAGAGCUGAUAUUCGCUGUAUUGUUUGUAUUUUAUGCCUAAUGGUAGUUCUACGAUAAGCUAAGCUAUGAUAACCCACUGGAAACUGGUCUCGUAUUUUAAAAAUAUAAAAAGAUAAAUCGCUUCUCCUAAUUUUUUUUAUACCCUUUGUUGUUAAUAUAGGUUUUAUUGGGACAUUUGGAGACCCUUUUCGAAUUAUUUGUAUUGAAUAAAUCUGAAUUUCUGAAUCUAAAUUUUCACCACCAUUUUAGCGCUAUGGCGCGCGCUCGUUAUGGUGCCGAGACUUUGAUUGAGAUUUAAUAACCGUAUAAUUAUUUAUAUUUCAUGCCUAGUAUUAGUUGUACGAUAAGCUAAGCUAUGAUAUACAUAUGAAGGAUAAAGAUAUAAAUUACUAAUGA